ensembl:snoRNA U3 Small nucleolar RNA U3
AGGACAAAUCAUUCACUAAACCCUAAACCUCAACUAAAUCUUGUAAUGAAGAAAUAAUGAUGAAGAUUUUAGAUAUUCCUUUCAGAGCGUGUCUCGUGGCUAGGAGUGACUUUGCUCAUUUUCGUUCCACCAUUGACGACUGUUGCUUGUUCUUCAAUGGGAUUUGGAUGAAGGAAACAUGUUCUGAGU